GUGCCAGCCGCCGCGGUAAUACAGAGGUCCCAAGCGUUGUUCGGAUUCACUGGGCGUAAAGGGUGCGUAGGCGGUCGGGUAAGUUUGAUGUGAAAUCUCCGGGCUCAACCCGGAAAUUGCAUUGAAUACUGCCCGGCUAGAGGAUUGGAGGGGAGACUGGAAUGCUCGGUGUAGCAGUGAAAUGCGUAGAUCUCGAGCGGAACACCAGUGGCGAAGGCGAGUCUCUGGACAAUUCCUGACGCUGAGGCACGAAAGCCAGGGGAGCAAACGGGAUUAGAUACCCGCGUAGUCC
rnacentral:rRNA from 1 species